UACGAAGGGGGCGAGCGUUGUUCGGAAUCACUGGGCGUAAAGGGCGCGUAGGCGGCCCUCCUAGUCGCGUGUGAAAGCCCCGGGCUCAACCUGGGAACGGCGCGCGAAACGGGGGGGCUGGAGUUCGGGAGAGGAGCGUGGAAUUCCCAGUGUAGAGGUGAAAUUCGUAGAUAUCGGGAGGAACACCAAUGGCGAAGGCAGCUCGCUGGGACGUUACUGACGCUGAGACGCGAAAGCGUGGGGAGCAAACAGG
rnacentral:rRNA from 1 species